rnacentral:lncRNA from 1 species
AAAAAACUGAGAAAACGGAAUGUUGAAGAACCAAAAUAACACACAUGGGUAUCGAACCCAGGACUAAGGGAGAGAUGAACUAACUCCAUCUCCACCUGGCCACAAGUUGUUUGCUGUUAGGCUACCAACGACCAAAUACAUAAACAAGAACCAAAAAUAAAAAUAAUGAAAAUAAAUAAAUAAAAUAAACUAAAUAUGAGAUGGGUCUGGGACGAAAGAAAG